UUCAUCGGAGCAUUCAAGUGUUACCUAUUAUAAGCUGCCAAAAGUGCGAAGCUCUUGGCUGACAGUGGUGCCUGCUAAUUUCCACUGCAAGGAUUUCGUCCACGAACGUUAUCAUAGGUUACGCGCGUCUCCAGAGGCACUUUGGAAUCUCGGCACGAAAUCGUCUGAUGAAAAUCUCAGGUGCCCGACGCACAACGUUUUGAACGUGUCACGGAGGAUCAAGGCAAAAAACUAGAGCAAAAAAGGUGCACGCUGAAGGCGGAAAUGAAGCAUGAUCUGGCUUGUAUCUGGUGCAUGAAGAAAUGGCUGACACGUUAGUUGCAGUCUACCUCCACCAAUAGACAUCUUGACACCACUUUUAAAUCUGCCCUCAAAGUUACAACCUGUGCUUUCAGGGUGGAAAACAA